rnacentral:piRNA from 1 species
UAAGAAACUUACUGUUGGGGCUUGG